AACCGAAGGCCGAUAAAGGGCAUUCCGGAAAUGCAAACAAAACUUGAAGAGAGAUCAUAUAUGCAAGCGCAAAUUACUAGCGCUCGGCCUAUUGUCCUUCAAAGUUCAAACUGCAGGCGCAGAUCCGAGGUGUUUGGGACUGGAAACCCUGGUUUCUCUACCUACUUUCAGAAUCCUUCAGCUCUCUCUACCUUUCAAUCAGUCAAUCGCUCGCUCACUAGCAGGAGAAAGGAACGAUUUUAAUAUACGAGCUAUUUGAAGCAGUGUACAUAUUCACUAGACAAAAUGCCUUCUCAAAAAAUUGAGACAGGUCAUCAGGACACAGUCCAUGAUGUGGUUAUGGAUUACUAUGGCAAGCGCAUUGCAA
rnacentral:misc_RNA from 1 species